GUGUCAGCAGCCGCGGUAACACCAGCCCCUCGAGUGGUGGGGACUAUUAUUUGGCCUAAAGCGUCCGUAGCUGGCUGUAUCCGUCCCCCGUUAAAUCCAGCGUCCUAAGCGUUGGACCGCGGGUGAUACCAUACAGCUAGAGGGUGGGACAGGUGGGCGGUAUUUCUGGGGUAGGGGCGAAAUCCUUUGAUCCCAGGAGGACCACCAGUGGCGAAGGCUGCUCACUAGAACACGCCUGACGGGCAGGGACGAAAGCUGGGGCAGCGAACCGGAUUAGAUACCCGGGUAGUCCCAGCUGUAAACGAUGCUAGCUAGGUGUUGGGUCGGCCACGUGCCGCCCCAGUGCCGCAGGGAAGCCGUUAAGCUAGCCGCCUGGGGAGUACGGCCGCAAGGCUGAAACUCAAAUGAAUUGGCGGGG
rnacentral:rRNA from 1 species